rnacentral:rRNA from 1 species
UACGAAAGGGGCUAGCGUUGUUCGGAAUUACUGGGCGUAAAGGGCGCGUAGGCGGCCUAGCAAGUUGGGGGUGAAAGCCCAGGGCUCAACCCUGGAAUUGCCUCUAAAACUGCUAAGCUCGAGGCCGAGAGAGGAGUGUGGAAUUCCUGGUGUAGAGGUGAAAUUCGUAGAUAUUAGGAAGAACACCGGUGGCGAAGGCGACUCCCUGGCUCGGUACUGACGCUGAGGCGCGAAAGCGUGGGGAGCAAACAGG